rnacentral:rRNA from 1 species
UACGAAGGGGGCUAGCGUUGUUCGGAUUUACUGGGCGUAAAGCGCACGUAGGCGGCUUGUUAAGUCAGGGGUGAAAUCCCGGAGCUCAACUCCGGAACUGCCUUUGAUACUGGCAAUCUUGAGGCUGGAAGAGGUUGGUAGAAUUCCGAGUGUAGAGGUGAAAUUCGUAGAUAUUGGGAAGAAUACCAGUGGCGAAGGCGGCCAACUGGUCCAGAUCUGACGCUGAGGUGCGAAAGCGUGGGGAGCAAACAGG